GACCCUGCAGCUCUGAGAGAGGAGCCUUAGCCCUGGAUUCCAAGGCACUUCCACUUGGUGAUCAGCCCUGAACACAGAAGACUCACCAUGGAAUUGGGGCUGAGCUGGGUUUUCCUUGUUGCUAUUUUAAAAGGUGUCCAGUGUGAGGUGCAGCUGGUGGAGUCUGGGGGAGGCUUGGUAAAGCCUGGGGCUUCCCUGAGACUGUCCUGUGCAGCCUCUGGAUUCACCUUCAGUAGUUAUGGCAUGCACUGGGUCCGCCAGGCUCCGGGAAAGGGGCUGGAGUGGGUCUCAUAUAUUAGUAGUGAUAGUAGUUACAUAUACUACGCUGACUCCGUGAAGGGCCGAUUCACCAUCUCCAGAGACAACGCCAAGAACUCGCUGUCUCUGCAAAUGAACAGCCUGAAAACCGAGGACACGGCCGUGUAUUACUGUGCUAGAGACACAGUGAGGCGAGGUCAGUGUGAGCCCAGACACAAACCUCCCUGCAGGGGCGCGCGGGGCCACCAGGGGGCGCCCGGGACACAAACCUCCCUGCAGGGGUCCCCGUGA